rnacentral:lncRNA from 7 species
ACUCUUGGGUAGGUUACUCCUAAGCAGACAUCCCUACCAUAGAUUUUAGUGAGUUUUAAGUUGCUUUGUAUUUGCCUAUGCUUUUGACUCUUCAUUUGGUCUUUUGAUAGCUCCGCUAAUUCUGAUGCUUCUAGAUUCUUCUCUGAAAGAUGAUUUGUGGUUGUAUUUGUAAUUCAAUCAAAUGUAACCCAAAACAGCAUAAGUUGCAUAUGAAGUAUUUAUAUCCUUGUGUCUGUGAAGGAUGGUUUCUGAAUUGAAGAAAAUGUGAUCAGACCUGCAUUUUAAGUGACUGGUUUAGCAAGACAGUUUGGCUGGACAUAGGGAAGAUCUUCCCAUGCAGAAGAGGAGAGGAAGGGAGAGAGAAAGAUCUGGAGCAUUUACUGUGGCUCACAAGACAAGAAUGGUCUUGUGUCAAGCUGAUGAAGGAAGAAAAAAGGCACAUGCUGUAGCGGGAUGUUAAACAGAAAGAGAACCUGCAACAUCUUGUGUUUAACAUAAGGAAGAGAAGGCAUAGAAGGGUUGUGGUAUCAGUCUUCAAAUACAUGAAAGGUCUCUGCUGACUUCAGUGGCUGAGUGAAGAUGUGAUGGGCUUGAAAUGCAGGAAGAAGCUAUAACAGAUUCAAAGAGCAAGUUACCAUUAUUUCCAAUGCACUGAAGCUGGUAUUCAACUUUGGACACAGUUCUCUGGUCAUCAUACACUGAUUUGUGCAGAUCGUUUCAUCAAUAUAUUUCACUGAGCAUCUGAUACUCUUUUAUCAUUGAUUCUGUGAAUGCAAAUUUCAGUGAGGCUGCCUGGGUGCAUCAAGACUACAAAGAAACUGAGAACUUGCACAUGCCUGCUUUCACAGAGCCCUGGAUGCCAACAGGCUUUUAUUCUGAAUGGAACCAUAACCCUCUGCUUCACAUUGUACAUGACAUUUGCUCAAAGACUGCUUGUUAAUUUGGCUUUGUUCUGAUGUUCAUUCUGGAUGCCUGAUGAUCACAGGAUGUUCUGAAACACACUGUAUUUCAUUUCUGUAUAUACUGAUUUCUGUCUUUUUUGAAGUGAAUUAUGUUGUGGCGUUGGUGAUAAACAGUAAACAUAGCAAACUUGUGAAGAUCUCAAAAGAAGUAAAGCACAUCAACACUGCUAUGUGGGAAAUGACUCUGUGAAAGUUCAAACUGAAAAAGCACGCAGCCUUCCAGAAUGAUCCAUGUUGAAGAUAAAGAUGACCCUUGCU